UUAAAUAUAUUUUAUUUUUAUUUACUGUUAUAAAAUUACGUCGAUAAACGGUGUAAUUUUUAAAUUAGAUAGUUUAGGAUUAUUUUUUUUUUUGUAACAAAACUAUGUCUAUAAACGGUGUAAUUUUUAAAUUAGAUAGGUUAGGGUUAUGUUUUUUUUUUUGUAACAAAACUAUGUCGAUAAACAGUGUAAUUUUUAAAUUAGAUAGGUUAGGGUUAUUUUUUUUUAGUAACAAAACUAUGUCUAUAAACGGUGUAAUUUUUAAAUUAGAUAGGUAAGGGUUAUUUUUUUUAGUAACAAAACUAUGUCUAUAAACGGUGUAAUUUUUAAAUUAGAUAGGUCAGGGUUUUUUUGUAACGGAAUUAUGCCUAUAAACGGCCCCUUUCUGAAGUCAGAU
rnacentral:misc_RNA from 1 species